UACCCUCCCACGGAGCUAACCUCAAUGUCCUCAAUUUAAUUUGCUUCUGCUUGCACAAUGCACUGAUACUUCUUGGCUCUUUGUUGUUCAGUGUUCCUGUUGUUACUAUUAUUAUUAGCUCUGAAAUUGUGAAAUUGGAAAUAGAAAUUAGUUACAGCAGCCUAUACAAUUUAUACAAUUAUUGGUUAAUAUGCCUUUGACAGGCCAAUAUGAAUAUAGGACUAUGCCUCCACAUCAGGCCUAGUCAUAACAAACUUCAGAAACAGAAUCAAGUAAACUGUCAGUUUACCUUGUUCUUGUUAGAUUUAAUCCUGUUAUCAACAUGUGUGAUGAUGCCAAACAAGAAGCCAGACUUAAUGUCCUUUAUUCUCCAUUCAGAAAAAAAGAAGUUAACCCACAAGAUUGGGAGUCUAAAAUGAGUUACUGGAAAUGUAAUAUCACAAAUUGGUGCAUAGCUUCUCAGAUAUGUGUAUUUUCACAAUCAAAACUGCAGACUGUGUUUGUUAGAAAUGGACGACCAGCAUCAUGUCUAACAACAGUUUUGGAAAAUAUGAUAAGGAACAAUGAAGUUAUUCGCCUCGAGGAACUACUCAGCAAGGACCAGCCAACUCUCCAGUCUUGGUCCACUUGGGCUGUCAACUGCUUUAUCAAAGCACCAGUUGUAUGGUCAUUUUCUAAAAUGAAAGAGUCUUUAAUAUCUAAACCUGAUGACAGAUGUGAUGAAGAGUACGUCCAUUUGACCGUCCUGAAGAAACUAACAGAAGACCUGAAGAAGAAAAUAUUGAAUAAAUAUGGACAGUCAAUUAUUAAUCUGGAUGAAAUUAAAGCAGUUAUAGAUAUAAAAGAUGAACCUAGUUUGAACGCUACUCUUCAUUGGCUAAAACUUCAAGGCCAAGCAGCAGUGACUGUGGUAAACAACAAAACUUUAAUUAAGCUGGCACGAGAUAGUGAAAGAGUGAGCUUGAUUAAUGAGACGGACAUAGGGAUGUUUCGGCUACAACACAACGAGCGAACAUUGAAGCAAAUGCUGGAGCAGCUGGAAACUGAGCGCCAGGCAGCAGACCUAGAGGCUCGCAACUACUUAAAGAAAGGCAUGAGACAAUCUGCUAAAACCUGUCUUAGAAAAAGAAAAGAACUGGAAAAGUGUAUUGAAAAGAGAGCUUCAGCAUUGGAAAAUGUCCAAGUACUACUGACAAGGGUGAAGGAAGCAGAGUCAGAUGGCAAGAUUUUGGAGUCAUACAAGAUGGGUUUGGAGGCUCUAAAAGCUACAUUCAAGAGUGCAGGGCUCUCUGAAGAUAGUGUUGGAGAUACGAUGGACCAAGUUCGAGAGGUAUAUUGUAGGGGUCUGCGGUGCACCGAAAAAAGGUUCUUGAAGUACAUGAAGAAGUUCAGAAUGCAUUGUCUGGGCCUGUAGCUUCCAGUUUGGACGAGGAUUUAGAGAAGGAAUUGGCAGAACUUCUGCUUGAGGAUAAGAAAGUUCUUCCAUCUCCAAGCUUGCCAGACUUGCCAGAGCCACCGACCCAUUCUCCUGAUUCGUCUUCAAUAAGAGUUUAUAGCAAGAGUAUCAAACAAUUUUCACAAUAAUGUUACCCUAACUAAAAAUAUUGAAGUAUAAACGUGUAAAUAUAAUAGUUAUAUUUUACUAAUAAUGUAUAUUCUUAUUGUAUAACUUCAGUAUGCAAGUAGACAGAUACCAAAAUUA